GAUGAACGCUAGCGGCAGGCUUAACACAUGCAAGUCGAGGGGUAGGUUACUUCGGUAAUUGAGACCGGCGCACGGGUGCGUAACGCGUAUACAAUCUACCUUUUACAGAGGGAUAGCCCAGAGAAAUUUGGAUUAAUACCUCAUAGUAUAGCAGUUUCGCAUGAAACCACUAUUAAAGUCACAACGGCAAAAGAUGAGCAUGCGUCCCAUUAGCUUGUUGGUAAGGUAACGGCUUACCAAGGCAGCGAUGGGUAGGGGUCCUGGAGAGGGGAGAUCCCCCACACUGGUACUGAGACACGGACCAGACUCCUACGGGAGGCAGCAGUGAGGAAUAUUGGGCAAUGGGCGCAAGCCUGAUCCAGCCAUGCCGCGUGCAGGAUGACGGUCCUAUGGAUUGUAAACUGUCUUUUGUAACAGGAAGAAACACUACUUCGUGAAGUAGCUUGACGGUACUGUAAGAAUAAGGAU
rnacentral:rRNA from 1 species